rnacentral:rRNA from 1 species
AACGGUGAGUAAUGCGUGACCAACCUGCCCCAUGCUCCAGAAUAGCUCUUGGAAACGGGUGGUAAUGCUGGAUGCUCCAACUUGACGCAUGUCUUGUUGGGAAAGNGUUUAGUGGCAUGGGAUGGGGUCGCGUCCUAUCAGCUUGUAGGCGGGGUAAUGGCCCACCUAGGCUUCGACGGGUAGCCGGCCUGAGAGGGCGGACGGCCACAUUGGGACUGAGAUACGGCCCAGACUCCUACGGGAGGCAGCAGUC